UGCCUAAACCUUUAGAGAUAAAGGCAUGGCGAGAAGGCCGUUCAAGAUAAAAAACCCAUCAUGUAGAAUUUGUCUUGAACGGCCGUAUCGGGAAACUGGUACGGAGGGCUUUGGUCCUC
rnacentral:sRNA from 12 species